UACCAGAAUAGUCCUUGGCUAUAUCCAUAUAUAUAUAUAUAUAAUUUAUACAUUGUGCCUUCAAAGCCUUAGCACAAUUUUAAGCUUUAAUAACUUUUUUUUAAAUGGGGGGGAGCAGGGGGGAGCUAGAUUGCUCAGUGGUUUGAGAGCCAAGUAUUAACCAGAGAUGUGAUAUAAGCCCAGGUCCUAUAAACUCCAGUUACUGUUAUUUCCACUGCGUUAUACUGCCUUCCAUUCUGAUGUUUCAGACUGCAUAGGAAUAUCUGGAAGACCCCAUCUUCUAUAAGGGGAAUCCCACUGGAGAUCCACACUGGACAUCCCAUAUACUGGACAUUGCAUAUUCCAUACUGCAAUGGAAACAGAAAAUAAUAAUGUGUUAGAGUUGGAAGAGAUUUUGAAGUCUUCAAAUAGAAUCUUAAUUAUACUUGAUGAAAAACCACCUCUGCAACAUAGAAGUGGUUAUUUAGUCUUUGUUUGAAGAUCUCCAAAGAGGAAGAACUGAAUACAUCCUAAGGUUGGAACCUGACUCAUUUGCUCUCAGUGAAAGGUGAAAGAAAUUAGAAGUUCAGGGGCUUAAUGCAAAGCUCCUGAUUCAACACCACAUAGAGAAGGGGGAAUUGACACAUACGUUUUUAAAACUGGUCUCUUUUAGUUCAAAAUAUAUUAUCCCAUGAAUUCGAUUUCACUGAAGGCUGCCUACAAAUAGGAUGUAACCCAGAGGCAGAGGUUGGAAAUUCAAGAAGAUUUGGCAUUAAGAAACCUGUAGCUCCAGGAAAUAGACAGGACAACAGAACAGAGAACAAAAUGGAUAUAAGUGGAACCAAAGAAGAAUUUCAGAGAUAUACUUUACAUAAACCUUACUCUGGUAUCCUUCAUUGUAAACGACAUUAUUAUAAGCAUUAUUUUAUGGUGAUCUAAGUUCUACAUUAUAAUAAUAGUAAUUUUUGAGUUACUAAUGUGAAUUUAAUUCUCUUUAAUAUUAAGAUUUUAAAGAAUUUAUUUGUUUAAACUACUAAUAUUUUGAAUCAGUUGAGAAAAAUUAUUGCAAUAAAUAUCUGUUGCAUGCCUUUUAUGUACCA
rnacentral:lncRNA from 1 species